rnacentral:tRNA from 1 species
CCCUAGUUGCUCAGCUGGUAAAGAAUCCGCCUGCAAUGCGGGAGACCUGGGUUUGAUCCCGGAUUGGGAA